CCUUCGAUAGCUCAGCUGGUAGAGCGGAGGACUGUAGUGGUUAAACACCUGUGGUCAUCCUUAGGUCGCUGGUUCGAUUCCGGCUCGAAGGA
rfam:Sarcophilus harrisii ctg7180002443637, whole genome shotgun sequence.